rnacentral:rRNA from 1 species
CAAAAACAUCGCCUCCCGCAAACACCAAAGUAUAGGAGGUCUUACCUGCCCAGUGACGACGAGUUAAACGGCCGCGGUAUUUUGACCGUGCUAAGGUAGCGCAAUCACUUGUCUUUUAAAUGAGGACCUGUAUGAAUGGUAGAACGAGGGCUUAACUGUCUCCCCUUUCUGGUCAAUGAAAUUAAUCUGCCCGUGCAGAAGCGGACAUAAAAAUACAAGACGAGAAGACCCUUUGGAGCUUAAGACAUAAAGUUAACUGUGCCCAGGUCUAAUACAAAAUUAGACAAAAUAAUACAGCAACUAACUCACGUCUUCGGUUGGGGCGACCGCGGGGGAAAACAAAGCCCCCAUGUGGAGUGGGUCAUUCCUAAAACCAAGAGGGACACCUCUAAGCCACAGAACAUCUGACCAACAGAUCCGGCAGCAGCCGAUCAACGAACCAAGUUACCCUAGGGAUAACAGCGCAAUCCCCUCCAAGAGUCCAUAUCGACAAGGGGUUUUACGACCUCGAUGUUGGAUCAGGACAUCCUAAUGGUGCAGCCGCUAUUAAGGGUUUGUUUGUUCAACGAUUAAAGUCCUACGUGAUCUGAG